rnacentral:lncRNA from 11 species
GUGAUAGGCUGUUGCUAAGUCAGGUCAAAGGGGCUGAGGAAGUCAAUCAGCCAGUGGCUACUAAAAUCAGCUUCUAAGAAGAUAGAAAGGCUUGAAAAUCUGGCUGAGGCAUCAUGAUGCCAAGAUCUGCAGCUUACAAUGCUGGAUUUGCAUCAGCCCAAGAAGGCAGGAGACAAAAAGAGAAAAAGGAAGGGGGAUGUUGGACAGCCAAGCAAGAACCACAAAGCAGUGACUCUCCUUUAGCAGGGUCUCUUUUAACCCAGUACGUAUCAGAGGAAGCAUGUGCGGUGGAAUGCGGUGGAAUGAGAUGCCCCAGAUGAGGAAGAUCACUGUCAUAUGGAAACGCAGCAGCAAAGCUAUUCAAAGGGAAAGAUGAGAAACAAAUUCUGGCAGAACUUCUGACUGAGCCAAUGCCUCUGGUGCUAAAAAUGUUGCAUUCCUCAUCUGAAAUGGAAAAGAACCACUAAAACUGCAGCAAAAUGGCAACAAAACCCUUUAAAAUGGGGGAAAUAGAAAAGGGGAUGUUUUGAAAGAAAUGUGAUGCAGAGCGCUACCAUUCUGAAAGGCAAACUCAGGGGAGUUCCACACAAGCAGUUUGAAGCUGUCUUGAGGUCGGGGUGCCUACAAAAUGCACACACUCCGAUUCAUGCUGCAGCACUCAUCCAGCCUGCAACAGUGUAUUAAAAAACCUCACUGGAAAUUCUGGAAUAAGUGAUAAAACAUGCUGCAGCCAAUCAUUGCAUAGUGGAUGCAGAGGUGAAACCUGAGUCUAAAAUGAGGACAAGGUUAGUGUCAAAUUAUUUGUGGAAGAAACUGGAAACACAGCUUACAGGAAAGUGAACAAACACCUCCACCCCCAGAGGAAACCACAGCAUUCCCAUGGAAACACUCGCCUUUCCUUUGUUGCUGUGCUCUACCUUGACUACUACUAAUCCAUAUUGCAUAGGCUACUCCCCAUUAGCACAUCCUAUCAGAUGAGGUAAAAAAUAAAACAAUUCCUUUUGGAUUGAUCCAAAAUCAGUGGAUCUUUGUGGCCAUUGUACCAGCCUUCAAUUGAUUCCUGGGGUGCCUGUAUAGAUGUUUUAGGGAAGUGGGGGUCUCCCCAUAUCCAUAUUAAAUGCUGACAUAAAACUACCCUCAGAAGUUGCCAUGGACAGCUCAGAUAGUGAGGAUGAGGAGUUGCUUGAAGAGCCAGCAGAAGAGAUGGAGGUCAGCAACACCCAACAGUCUGCCCAGCCUAGCUCAGAUACUGCUGCAGAUGCGCCUUCAGCAGGAGUAAACACUCCUCAGCAGCCUGAAACAAACAUGUCAGAGGAAGCUACAGAAGGGCUAACCCACAUCUCUAGAAUGUAACAGGUCUCAGAGAUUAAAAAUAGUAAAAUCAGGCAACAGCUGAGAUCUUAAAAGUCCUCCAUGUUAUGACUCUUUGCAACAGACAAUGUUGUUUCUUGGUUUGAGUCCAACACCUGCUUCAUCUCAUCUUGGACUCUGACUCUGCUACUUUUCGGUAUACUACUCAAGAAUUCCUGGCUUCGAUUUCUGGUAAUCUGACUUUUGGCUUUGGUACCUUUGUUUGUUUAAACUUCAUUUUUCAGACUCUGGACCAGACUUUUGACUAUUCUGCUGCUUUCUGGUAAUUGGCAUUUCUGAACUUGGAUUAUUGACCUUGGCUAUUUCAAUGAGUUUGUUU